CCCGGAAUUAUGGCUUAUGCUUACAAGAACCUGAGGCCUAGGCCCAGUGUGGCCUGUUGAGCCUGUCACGGCUCAGGUCAGGUCCCAACAAUCCCUUUGGCUGUUUCUUUUCAAAAGUGGAGUCAGAGGUGACUGUCUACAUCCCUGACUCUCAGUAAACACCUUGAAUAUGUUACAGCAGGUUAUCAUGGCUCACUGCUGCUGGCCACGUGAUUUCAGAAGCUAGGAGUGAUACCGUGGAGAGGGCUGCCUUCCUGGACUUCUGUAAAUGUAAACUCCUGGUUACCUUCCCAGAUGUUGAUCAAAUGGAGGUGAGUGCGGCAUAGCAAAUACAAACAUCUAUGCUGUCCUUGCGAAACUUCGAUUUCAGAUAAGAAUGGCUGGAGCAAGAGCAAGGAACAGAAACGCAGAGGAAUUUGCGGUGCUCUUCGAGAGGGGAGAUUCUGCUUCCUCACGCAGGCUCUGAAACAAACUGUCGAGGGUUUGUCUCGGUGGAAAAGGCUGGAGUCUGCAUUUUGGCUCUUCAUGUGUGUGCUGUGUUCCUUCCUCUCUUCUUUCUCCCCCCUCUUCUCUUCUUUGGCAACGAUGAUAAAAUUUCCUGGGCAAAAUAAUCCUUUCUUUUUUAACUGGAAAAAUCUGGCAUAAUGUCACAGUGUUCUGAUGUCCUCAGAGCUCAACAUACUGGGCCUUAGAAAGUUUCCAGGGGAGAGACAAUAAGACCACAGUCUGCAUAGAGCCUUCUGUGUGGCUGUGACAGCAAAGGCAAAAACAAUCACGUUAAUGUUGCUGCUUCGGAUUGGGCUUGUUUGCUGCCGCUUCUUUGUGAGUUUUUCACUAUUCACUCUAAGUUUUUAAAGGACAUUGUGUAUGUCUCCAUUAAGACAAACUGUUUACAUGUCAGGGUUACCACGUUCUGUAUCCUCUUUGUUAUAUUCUAUUCAGAAGAUGAAGUAAGUGGAAGAGUGGACCCCCACCCCCACCCCCAAAGAUAUACCUACAUCCCAGAACUUGUGAAUAUGACCAUAUUUGGAA
rnacentral:lncRNA from 1 species